rnacentral:rRNA from 1 species
AACGAACGCUGGCGGCAGGCCUAACACAUGCAAGUCGAGCGAAGCCUUCGGGCUUAGCGGCGGACGGGUGAGUAACGCGUGGGAACGUGCCCUUUGGUACGGAAUAGCCCCGGGAAACUGGGAGUAAUACCGUAUGUGGUCGAGAGACGAACUAUUUAUCGCCAAAGGAUCGGCCCGCGUUGGAUUAGGUAGUUGGUGGGGUAAUGGCCUACCAAGCCGACGAUCCAUAGCCGGUUUGAGAGGAUGAUCAGCCACACUGGGACUGAGACACGGCCCAGACUCCUACGGGAGGCAGCAGUGGGGAAUCUUAGACAAUGGGGGAAACCCUGAUCUAGCCAUGCCGCGUGAUCGAUGAAGGCCUUAGGGUUGUAAAGAUCUUUCAGUGGGGAAGAUAAUGACUGUACCCACAGAAGAAGCCCCGGCUAACUCCGUGCCAGCCGCCGCCGUAAUAC